rnacentral:lncRNA from 1 species
UGAGAAAGACUUUGAAAGUUAUCGAUCUAACUAGGAGAGUCAAGGAUCUGACUCGAAUAGCCAUGGCUGGCCAAAGAAAGGUUAGGGAUAACCAGAGAAGGGCCAUAAACUGAAAUAGAGCAAGGACUGGACCAGAUUCCCUCAAGGUCUAACCAUGAAACCAACACCCCAGAGCCAUGGGAGGCUGAUACAUGUCUCAAAUGACCAUGAGGGGACAUGGAUUAAAAAGGUAUCAAGGUGGGGUGAGAGGGAGGCAGCUAGGGUUCACAAGACUUUCAGAGAGCGUCGAGAGAGAAGAGGGAUU